ACCUGGGUUGGGGCCAAGACCUGCCCAAACCCAGGGUCAUCAAGCAGGCCCUGAGAACAGUACAGGGCUCCCCACCCCAGAAUGAACAAGGCCGAUGCAGAAGUACCAGCCCUGGAGGCAACCAGAGGUGAGAGGAAGAUUGCUGUCCAGCAGAACCUGACACAACCUCCUGAACACCCCUGUGGACAUCAUGAUGUGGACACACGUGCUGCAGGUGUGUUCAGUGAGGCUGCAGGGGGCGGAUGGCCCCACACCCACACACCCAGGUCUCGUGGUGCUCCUGUUCCCAGCCUCACUCUGAGAUUGGUCAACAUUUUUAUGAACUCGCUAAAAUACAGACUGCCUGUUCCUGAUCGCAUCCUCCUCCAGCCACCGCAGUGCUAAUGA
rnacentral:lncRNA from 1 species